rnacentral:rRNA from 1 species
UACGGAGGGUGCAAGCGUUAUCCGGAUUCACUGGGCGUAAAGCGUGCGCAGGCGGUUUUGUAAGCCAGAUGUGAAAGCCCCGGGCUCAACCUGGGAAUGGCAUUUGGGACUGCAAGGCUGGAGUGUGGCAGAGGAGACUGGAAUUCCUGGUGUAGCAGUGAAAUGCGUAGAUAUCAGGAGGAAUACCGAUGGCGAAGGCAGGUCUCUGGGCUAACACUGACGCUCAUGCACGAAAGCGUGGGGAGCAAACAGG